GAAAACCGAGAACCGACCCAGCCCGCAAUAACCGAAACAAAAAACAAAAACGGUCUGGUUUGAAACGGGUUUGCGGUCUUGCGGGCCUGAAUUUCGGCCUCAAACAGGUUAAGACGGGCGGACUCGGUUCAUUGAAAUAACACCGCAGGUAUCCGAACCCGACCGAGUAAUGUUAUUUUAUUCAUUUUACAUCUACUAUGUUAGUACACAACUCUGAGCGAGAGUUUCAUUUUUUAUUUAUCUUCUCUCUCUUCAGCUUCCAUCCCUUCCCUCUUGUUCACAUCCAAACCCUAAUCCUAGCCGCCAUCCAUCCGCCGCCGUCUAUCAUACCCAUCUUAAAUCCUCUUCUCAUGUUCAUCUUCUCCAAUAUGUCACAAUGUUUUCCAUUUCCAAUUCGUUUCUAUUGAUUUCUUAUUCUUUCAUAUUCUAUUUCACUUACACCAUUCUUAAUCAUUCAACAUCUUUCUAUUCUUCUUUUGUUUAUGUUCCAGAAGAAUAGAAGGACAAUAGUUGCAUCUUUAUUCUUUUUGAACAAAAGGUUAUUGAUUUAAAGGUUGCCGAGACUUGAGACUUAAGAGGUUGUUGGUGGCUUAUUGAAGAACUAAUAAAUGUAUUUGUUUUGUUAUUAUUUUGAUAUAAAUGUAAUAAUUUAUGUUAUUUUUGAAGUUAUUGGAUGUGAGAUAUGCACUUUUGAAUUGGGCCAAAAAUAAAAUAUUGUAAUAUAUUGACUUAAAAUUAGUGAAAGUAAUUUAAGAAAAAAGCUAAACAAAUUAUUUGGCUUAAAAUUGGAAGUAACCCAAUAACCCGAAAUGCCCGUCCGAAAGCACCCGCAACCCGUUUUAAACCAACCCGUCAAAACCGAUACAAAUUUUGGGCGGAAUUGGGCCUGUUUUCUCCAACCGUGGGUUGGGCUGGGUGGUGGUUUUGGGCCUGAAACCGCCCAACCCGGCCCGUUGUCCACCCCUAGUCCAGAGCGUGUUGGUAGAAGUGUGAAAGA